UGGGGAAUCAUGGUCAAUGGGCGAAAGCCUGAACCUGCGACGCCGCGUGAGUGAUGAAGGUCGUAAGAUCGUAAAACUCUUUUCAGGGAUCUUAAAGCACAACCGUCAACAACGGCUGUGUGUGACUCUCCCUGGAAGAAGCCCCAGCCAACUACGUGCCAGCAGCUGCGGUCAUACGUAGGGGGCGAGCGUUAUUCGGACUUACUGGGUGUAAAGGGUAUGUAGGCGGCCCUUCAAGUCGCGUGUCAAAGUCCAGGGCGUAACGCUGGGUGUG
rnacentral:rRNA from 1 species